rnacentral:rRNA from 1 species
GCCUGCCCAGUGACUCUUUAAACGGCCGCGGUAUCCUAACCGUGCAAAGGUCGCAUAAUCACUUGUCCCUUAAAUCGGGACUGGAAUGAACGGCUAAAUGAGGACUAAACUGUCUCUUACAGGCUAGCCAAUGAAAUUGAUUUUCCAGUACAAAAGCUGGAAUAUAACCACAAGACGAGAAGACCCUGUGGAGCUUACAAACCAAAUUCACCAAACAUGUCUUUAUCGGUUUUCAGUUGGGGCGACUUUGGAGUAAAAAACAACCUCCAAACACCAAACUAAUUAAGAACAACAUAUCAAAAUAUAUCUGUAAUGACCCAGCAACCCUGUGGUUGUCUGAUUAAUGAACCAAGUUACCCCAGGGAAUAACAGCGCCAUCCCCUUCUAGAGUUCCUAUCGACAAGGGGGUUUACGACCUCGAUGUUGGAUCAGGACACCCCAAUGGUGCAGCCGCCAUUAACGGUUCGUUUGUUCAACGAUUAAAGUCCAACGUGAU